rnacentral:lncRNA from 1 species
AAAUAACCAAAAAAAAAUAUAUUUAUUUUAGUCAAGGAAGCCCAAGAGCCCAAGGCCCCAAGGCCCAAAUCAAGACAUUUUAAUAUUUGCGCGGGGAGUGAUUCGAACCCCUGACGUCCCACACAAAUGUCACAUUUCCCACCACUUUGGCACUUUAUCUAAUUUGAUUAUUUCUUUCAUAUUUUAUAUUUAUACCAUAAAUAUAUAACAGUCCCCCACAUGAAAGAAAUAAGAUAAAUGAAAAUAUUACUCUGGAGUACGGUAGAAAUCAUGCAGGCUUAGGUGUCUAUUGACUUGAACCUUGGCUUUGUAUAUUCUAUCGAGCUUACUAACUGUAGAGUGAACUAUGUCUUGAACUCUACAAUUAUAGUUGCAAACUGAGACAAUAGAACACACACAUGAUUUCUAGAACAGUCAUUGAGUUCUCGCGGUUGUGUUCAUUUCGGCCGUGAACUUUCCCAGUUUCUUUGAGUGCUCUAGAGAAUUCGCCUCAAUUCUCAUAGGAAGCGGCCCCACUUCCACACUCAAAUAGGUGCUACUAUCAAGGGUGCACUGUAUUUAAACACCCCACUGAAUAUCAGCUAUAGUAAGCAUUAAGAGCAUUAGCUCAUCCUCUAAUCAAUACAGUGG